rnacentral:rRNA from 1 species
UACGCAGGGUGCGAGCGUUGUCCGGAAUUAUUGGGCGUAAAGGGCUCGUAGGCGGUUCGUCACGUCGGGAGUGAAAACUCGGGGCUUAACCCCGAGCCUGCUUCCGAUACGGGCAGACUAGAGGUAGGCAGGGGAGAGCGGAACUCCUGGUGUAGCGGUGGAAUGCGCAGAUAUCAGGAAGAACACCCGUGGCUAAGGCGGCUCUCUAGUACGGUACUGACGCUGAGACGCGAAAGCGUGGGGAGCGAACAGG